UGUACAUCCCGCUAGAGUCUACGCAGGCCGAGGCGAUAGCCAUUGCCUCUCUGCCUGGCGGAACCGAAGACCGCCGAGCCCCCGACCCAGCUCCAGCCUCCAGCUGCGUGUGAGCGUGUCGAUCUCCACUCUCCCGCGUGUUCAUCACAAUCCCAACUCCCGUUACUUUCCGGGCUCCUCGUCCUCUGCCCCAAAACCCUAAACCUAAUACCGUCAUGGCGCUCACUACACGGGGUGCCGCCGGCGGUGGGGAUGCGGCGAAGGCGCCGUCCGCUUCCGAUCCCAGCCUCGGCUUUCUCACCAAGUGCGACACCGAGGUCAAGCUACCCCGCGCCGAUACAGAUUACGGCCGAGCAGAUCCUCCGGGAGGCUAGGGAGCGGCAGGAGCCUGAGAUCCGCCCACCCAAGCAGAAGAUAACAGACCCCCAAGAGCUCUCCGAGUACCGCCUCCGCAAGCGGAAGGAGUUCGAGGAUGUCAUCCGCCGAGUGCGCUGGAGCGUCUCGGCCUGGGUCAAGUACGCGCGGUGGGAGGAGCAGCAGCUGGACUUCGCGCGCGCGCGGUCCGUCUACGAGCGCACGCUCGACGUCGCCCACCGUGACCACACGCUCUGGCUCAAGUAUGCCGAAUUCGAGAUGCGGAACCGGUUUGUCAACCACGCCCGGAAUGUCUGGGACCGCGCGGUGUCGCUCCUCCCCCGGGUGGAUCAGCUAUGGUACAAGUACAUACACAUGGAGGAGCUGCUUGGUGCAGUUGCCAAUGCGCGCCAGGUGUUUGAGCGCUGGAUGUCUUGGCGACCCGACACGGCUGGCUGGAAUUCUUACAUCAAGUUUGAGCUGCGGUAUGGGGAGGUCGAGCGUGCCAGAGCUAUCUAUGAGCGGUUUGUGGCUGAGCACCCACGGCCAGAUACCUUCAUCCGAUAUGCUAAGUUUGAGAUGAAGCGCGGUGAGGUCGAACGGGCACGGCGGGUGUAUGAGCGUGCAGCAGACCUGCUUGCUGAUGAUGAAGAUGCAGAAGUGUUGUUUGUGGCAUUUGCAGAGUUUGAGGAGAGGUGCCGUGAGGUCGAGCGUGCACGUGCAAUAUACAAGUAUGCUCUGGACAGGGUGCCCAAGGGUCGUGCUGAGGAAUUGUAUAGGAAGUUCCUGGCAUUUGAGAAGCAAUUUGGUGACCGUGAGGGAAUUGAGGAUGCCAUUGUCGGCAAGAGGAGAUUUCAGUACGAGGAUGAGGUUAGGAAAAACCCACUAAACUAUGACUCAUGGUUUGAUUAUAUCAGGCUGGAGGAGAGUGUUGGGAAUAACGAUAGGAUCAGGGAGGUGUACGAGAGGGCCAUUGCCAAUGUGCCCCCCUGCAGAAGUGCAGAGGAGAAGCGAUAUUGGCAGAGGUACAUAUACCUCUGGAUUAACUAUGCACUUUAUGAGGAGCUAGAUGCACAAGACAGAACGGACCAGGGAGGUUUACAAGGAAUGCCUGAGGCUGAUUCCUCACAAGAAGUUCACAUUUGCAAAGAUGUGGCUCAUGGCGGCCCAGUUUGAAAUAAGGCAGAAAAAUCUAAAGCCUGCAAGACAAAUUCUUGGAAAUGCAAUUGGAAUGGCCCCAAAGGGCAAGAUAUUGAAGAAAUAUAUUUAAAUCGAGCUUUAUUUAGGUAACUUUGACCGUUGUAGGACUCUUUAUGAGAAAUAUAUUGAAUGGUCCCCAGCAAACUGUUAUGCUUGGAGGAGAUAUGCUGAAUUGGAGAAGAACCUUAGUGAUACUGAUCGUGCUCGAUCAAUAUAUGAACUUGCUAUUGUACAGACAGCCCUUGAUAUGCCAGAGAUUCUGUGGAAGGAGUACUUGCAGUUUGAAAUUGAUGAAAAUGAAUUUGAGAGGACUAGGCAACUAUAUGAGAGACUGCUUGAUAGGACAAAGCAUUUAAAGGUAUGGACCAGUUAUGCGGAGUUUGAGGCCUCUGCUGGCUUGGGCGGUGAAGACAGUGAAGGUGAGGAGAAAAAGAAUGAUAAGGAACAGAAGAUGGAGCAAGUCAAAAAAUGUAGAGCUAUCUUUGAAAGGGCAUUCGACUACUUCAGAACCAGUGCCUCCGAGUUGAAGGAGGAAAGAGCUAUGCUUCUUGAAGAAUGGCUUAAUAAGGAAGUGAUCUUUGGUGAUCUUGGGGAUGUCACCUUAGUGCAAAAGAAGGCGCCAAGAAAAGUCAAGCGGAAGAGACCAAUUCCUACAGAAGAUGGCUCCACUAUAGCGUAUGAGGAGUAUAUAGAUUACAUUUUCCCUGAUGAAGUUGCUCUAGCACCAAACCUGAAGAUCCUGGAAGCGGCUUACAAAUGGAAGAAGCAGAGAACCGACGAUGACAAUGUGUGAUCCUGGCAUCGCAGUAUUGGCGUUGUCGUGAACAUUUUGCUACAGCCAAAAUCAGGUGUCUUGCAACACUGGCCAGAGCUAUCGGAAUGAGAAUAAUCGAUUUCUUCAUGUCACAGAGGAUGCAGUUGCUGUUGAAAAGAAUUGUCAGAAAUACUUUUAACAGGUAACUGUAUGGGCUGUAGUUUGGUGGCCGUGAGUCGCUUCCAUACGUAGGUUCAGGCUCAGAACAAUGGGAGGAGGGGCUAAUACAAGCCGCUACGGUGUAUGAUAGUUUGUAUUCCAAUUGCAAAGGUGCCCUUCCAGUCGCUAUGCUUCGUCUGCAGUUGUCCUCAACUUCAAUCGCUGUGUUAACUGUGUGGCCAUGCCGGGUCACACAGGUAGGUGUUCAGAAUCCAGUUGGAGGACUUGCAGUUGCAGAGGAUCCUACCAGCAAGUCGUCAUAUUCAGUGCCUAGCAGCUCAGUUUAUUAGCCAGUGAAGCUUUUGAUUCCUAGUAGUCUGUUGCCAGGUUUGUUUCUUGUAUUUUUGUUUUCUCAGAAAAGUUGACAAGAGCUUUGCUGAACUAAUUUAUUAGAAAGAAAAAAACAAGAAAAGUACAGGACAGCCAAAAAAAGCAGCAGAAGAAGGAAAGGGGACAGCUAUGCGAAAGAAGAAAUCGUUUCUUUUAUGUGUGUUUUUGUGAUUUUGGCAAACCUAGGAUUGCUAUGACUUGUUUUAUGCUUGGGCAUCUAAUUUUAAAAAGUUAAAUGUAUCGGUGGCUCUUGAACUUGUAAGAGAUGUCACUUAUGUUUAUGAAUUUUGAAAAUGUAUUUCUAGGUCUUUCUA